UGGGGAAUAUUGGACAAUGGGCGCAAGCCUGAUCCAGCAAUGCCGCGUGAGUGAUGAAGGCCUUAGGGUUGUAAAGCUCUUUCGCACGCGACGAUGAUGACGGUAGCGUGAGAAGAAGCCCCGGCUAACUUCGUGCCAGCAGCCGCGGUAAUACGAAGGGGGCUAGCGUUGUUCGGAAUUACUGGGCGUAAAGGGCGCGUAGGCGGCCUGUUUAGUCAGAAGUGAAAGCCCCGGGCUCAACCUGGGAAUAGCUUUUGAUACUGGCAGGCUUGAGUUCCGGAGAGGAUGGUGGAAUUCCCAGUGUAGAGGUGAAAUUCGUAGAUAUUGGGAAGACACCGGUGGCGAAGGCGGCCAUCUGGACGGACACUGACGCUGAGGCGCGAAAGCGUGGGGAGCAAACAGAUUAGAUACCCUGGUAGUCCACGCCGUAAACGNUGAAUGCUNGACGUCGGGUUGCAUNCACUUCGGUGUCGCCGCUAACGCAUUAAGC
rnacentral:rRNA from 1 species